rnacentral:rRNA from 1 species
GAUCAUGGCUCAGAACGAACGCUGGCGGCAGGCCUAACACAUGCAAGUCGAGCGGACCUUUCGGGGUCAGCGGCAGACGGGUGAGUAACGCGUGGGAAUAUGCCCUUUGGUACGGAAUAGCCUCGGGAAACUGAGAGUAAUACCGUAUGUGCCCCUCGGGGGAAAGAUUUAUCGCCAAAGGAUUAGCCCGCGUUGGAUUAGGUAGUUGGUGGGGUAAUGGCCUACCAAGCCGACGAUCCAUAGCUGGUUUGAGAGGA